rnacentral:lncRNA from 1 species
UUAUUCAUGCUUUGCGCUUCUAUCGUGCUUGCUUAAAUCAUUGAUUUUGUCUUCUAAUAUUGGAGAAAUCUUGAUGAAUUUCUUUAUAUCGGUAUUAUUUAGAGAAUAGGCAGAUUGCACUCCAAGCCUUUAUCUCUUGUAUAAGUUUUGCAUCCUGUUGUCUGCUGAGGUACUAAAUUGAUGUAUGAGCUAAUUAAUUGUUUUA